AUAAAGCGCCGCUACGUCACAUCCUGUCGCACACUUUCAGUUCCUCGGCUGAAGCGGAGCAACUGUCCCUGGCUCCCCGGGUUUGUGUCCCUCUUCUCCCGCAACAAACAGCCUCCAGUGCGCCUCCGGCUCGGACUGCGGCUAACAUGGCGGAGCUAACCAAAGACGUGGAGCAGGUUUCCGUGGGUGAGUUGUACGUGUCGGACAAAUGCGGCAGCGACCGGGACGGAGACGGCUCGGAGCAGAAACCCUUCAAAACUCCUCUGGGGGCUCUGAUGUCCGUUGGGAAGGAGCCGUUUCCCACCAUUUAUGUGGACUCGCAAAAAGAGGAUGAGCGUUGGGCGGUGAUCUCAAAGACGCAGAUGAAGAAUGCUAAAAAGGCCCUGAGCCGUGAGCAGCUGAAGAGUGAUGCCAAAGACCAGAAGGAGGCCGUGGACACCGAGAGGAGAGACAAGAACCUGGAAGAAGCCAAGAAGAUCGUCAUCGUGAAAGACCCGAGUCUCCCUGAGCCGGAAGCGGUUAAAAUCCGUGAUCUGGAGUCAAAGAGAGGUCAAAGGGUCAAAGUGUUUGGAUGGAUUCAUCGCCUGAGGAGACAAGGGAAGAACCUGAUGUUCAUUGUGCUGAGAGACGGAUCUGGCUUCCUCCAGUGUGUCCUCAAUGAUAAACUGUGCCAGUGCUACAACGGCCUGGUGCUGUCCACCGAGAGCACGGUGGCUCUGUACGGGACCAUCACCCCCGUUCCUGAGGGCAAACAGGCGCCCGGGGGCCACGAGCUGCACUGUGACUUCUGGGAGCUGAUUGGCUUAGCUCCAGCGGGCGGCGUCGACAACCUGCUGAACGAAGAGUCGGACGUGGACGUCCAGCUGAACAACCGGCACAUGAUGAUCCGAGGAGAGAACGUGUCCAAGAUCCUGCGAGUGCGCUCCACCGUCACGCAGUGCUUCAGGGACCACUUCUUCCACAGCGGCUACCACGAGAUCUUUCCUCCGACCCUGGUGCAGACUCAGGUGGAGGGCGGCUCCACGCUGUUCAACCUGGACUACUUUGGCGAGCAGGCGUUCCUGACUCAGUCCUCCCAGCUCUACCUGGAGACCUGCAUACCGGCCCUGGGAGACAGCUUCUCCAUCGCCCAGUCCUACCGAGCUGAGCAGAGUCGCACCCGCAGGCACUUGUCUGAGUACACUCACAUCGAGGCGGAGUGUCCCUUCAUCUCGUUCGAGGACCUGCUGACCCGGCUGGAGGAGCUGGUGUGUGACGUGGUGGACCGAGUGCUCAAGUCCCCGGCUGGACAGCUGGUCUACGACAUCAACCCGGACUUCAAACCGCCCAAGAGGCCGUUCAGGAGGAUGGACUACACCGACGCCAUCAAGUGGCUCAGAGAGCACGACAUCAAGAAGGACGACGGCACCUACUACGAGUUCGGAGAGGACAUCCCCGAGGCUCCAGAGAGGCUGAUGACGGACGCCAUCAACGAGACCAUCCUGCUCUGUCGCUUCCCCACGGAGAUCAAGUCCUUCUACAUGAUGCGCUGCCCCGAGGACCGGCGCCUCACUGAGUCGGUCGACAUGUUGAUGCCAAACGUGGGUGAGAUUGUCGGAGGCUCGAUGCGUAUCUGGGACUCUGAGGAGCUGCUGGAGGGAUACAAGAGGGAGGGAAUCGACCCCACCCCGUACUACUGGUACACCGACCAGAGGAAGUACGGCACGUGUCCUCACGGCGGCUACGGUCUGGGUCUGGAGCGUUUCCUCACCUGGAUGCUGAACAGACAUCACAUCAGAGACGUCUGCUUGUAUCCUCGCUUCAUCCAGCGCUGCCGCCCCUGAGCGCGCACACACACACACACACACACACACACACACACAUUCUGUGGUUGGAUGUGGCUCGUGCAGCUGAAUCCCAACAAAAAAAAAUCCAUAUAAUGAUCUAUUUCUGCUCAACUUUGCCUCUUCUCAUGAAUCUGACCAUUUCCUGCCUCUGCUGAUGCUCAUUGGCUGAUAUAUGUAUCCUGCUCUAAACACUGUUGUGUCCUGUGAUCGUACAGAGCGUCUGCAAGUCCGAGAAAACAUAGAAAAACGUCCCCGGUGGUCUUCAGUGCUGCUGAAUAAUAGAUUGAAUGUAUAUUUUGUUAAUAUAAUCCGAAGGAAUUUGCAAAAAAGGACUUAAAAAUGUAAUUAACCUGCAGAAUCGUUCAUUUUUAGCUUAAUGUUUGCAAAUUUUGGAAUUUGCAGUAAAAUAAGGAUUUAAAAUACUUCAGCAUGUCACAGUAAACGCCGUCUCUUCAGUAUCUGGUAUUCUUCCUCAUUGUUCUCAAUGACAAUAAAAAAGGGUCUUUAAGGAAACUUUAACUUCAUCAAUCGCACAAAUGAAGAAUCGGCAAGAAGCAGAAAAUAAUGUUCACGAAGAAAACACUGAAUUUGUCUGUUUUGUUGUUGGUGAAUCGUUUCGGUUCAGAUUCACAGAAUAAGGAAGUGAUUCUGUGUCUUAUCAAACAUUUCAAAAUCACAAGAUCAAGAAUAACAAACUGUGCUGUUACACGAUCACUGUGCCAGGCCUCGUGGUUUCACUUUGUCUCAGAUCAAACUUUAAUCACGAGGACGACGACCGCUCAAAUUAAACUCCUGACCUGUGAUCAUUGAGUGAUUGUCUCUGUUCUGCCUCUUCACCUGCAAAAACUCAAUAAACUGCACCUGAAGCUAACACAAA